AUAAGUCUCUGCCCACAGUAGACUCUAAACUGUUUUCAAAUAUAGCUUGUGUCUGCAUGCUGUCAUACUGCCCUUAAAAAUGAGUUAUCGGCUUGGCAGAUUUUUGAAAUAACAGGAAAUGUCCAGGGGCUUUUGCAGAGCAGACACACUGCACCUCAGAAAGAGCCCCGAAUGGGCCCUCACCUGCCAUCUGCAGCUGACUGGCCUGGUCCUCUGCAAAUCACAGCUGCUGGAUCCCACCCAUCCGGACUCCAGCUCCCAGCCCUGGAGAGGGGAUUCCGCAGGGAGUCGCUGACUGACAGCUGGUGCUGCAUCCUGAGCUUGCGCAGCUGCCUUGCCACUGUGACAGAGAGCAACACUGCCAGCUCAUUUGAAAGGCUGCGGACUGAACAGGCAUGGAGACGGAAUUGCUCUCUUAUUCCCAGAGGAUGCUUUCUACGCAUCAGAGCUGAGGUAUCCUGCCAUGGACCCCCUCCACAGAUACGUCACACCCAGCUGGCAUGGUAUAUAGCAGUGUAACUGAGGUGAGUAGAGUGCCCUACAUGAGAGGCUCUGAGGAAUGUGAAGAUUGAGUGAGAGAGAGACUUGAAGGCUAUGAGAGA